UACAGAGGUCCCGAGCGUUGUUCGGAUUCAUUGGGCGUAAAGGGUGCGUAGGCGGCGCGGUGAGUCGGGUGUGAAAUCUCGGAGCUUAACUCCGAAACUGCAUUCGAUACUGCCGUGCUUGAGGACUGGAGAGGAGACUGGAAUUUACGGUGUAGCGGUGAAAUGCGUAGAUAUCGUAAGGAAGACCAGUGGCGAAGGCGGGUCUCUGGACAGUUCCUGACGCUGAGGCACGAAGGCCAGGGGAGCAAACGGG
rnacentral:rRNA from 1 species